rnacentral:piRNA from 1 species
UAAAAAAUGGUGUCUUUAAUCGGGUUUUCCAA